AAGAACACCUGGGAUUCAAAGUCAACUCUAUGAUGUGUGUGACCUUGACUGUGGUUGGCUGCAAGUUACAGAUACUAAAGGAG
rnacentral:lncRNA from 1 species